rnacentral:rRNA from 1 species
UACGAAGGGGGCUAGCGUUGCUCGGAAUUACUGGGCGUAAAGGGCGCGUAGGCGGAUAGUUUAGUCAGAGGUGAAAGCCCAGGGCUCAACCUUGGAAUUGCCUUUGAUACUGGCUGUCUUGAGUACGGGAGAGGUGAGUGGAACUCCGAGUGUAGAGGUGAAAUUCGUAGAUAUUCGGAAGAACACCAGUGGCGAAGGCGACUCACUGGCCCGUUACUGACGCUGAGGCGCGAAAGCGUGGGGAGUAAACAGG